rnacentral:tRNA from 1 species
GGAAAGUUUGUGAAGAUAUCAGCAGACUGUAAAUCUGCCCUCAUUUGAGUACGUAGGUUCGAAUCCUACCCCCUCCACCA